GGCGGCAUGCGUUACACAUGCAAGUCAACGGCAGCACGGGAGCAAUCCUGGUGGCGAGUGGCGAACGGGUGAGUAAUAUAUCGGAACGUGCCCAGUCGUGGGGGAUAACGUAGCGAAAGCUACGCUAAUACCGCAUACGAUCUAUGGAUGAAAGCGGGGGAUCGCAAGACCUCGCGCGAUUGGAGCGGCCGAUAUCAGAUUAGGUAGUUGGUGGGGUAAAAGCCUACCAAGCCUUCGAUCUGUAGCUGGUCUGAGAGGAGACCAGCCACACUGGAACUGAGACACGGUCCAGACUCCUACGGGAGGCAGCAGUGGGGAAUUUUGGACAAUGGGCGCAAGCCUGAUCCAGCAAUGCCGCGUGCAGGAUGAAGGCCUUCGGGUUGUAAACUGCUUUUGUACGGAACGAAACGGUUCUCUCUAAUACAGGGGGCUAAUGACGGUACCGUAAGAAUAAGCACCGGCUAACUACGUG
rnacentral:rRNA from 1 species